UGUUGGCGAGAGGCGCGGGUCUGCAUCAGUAGCGCGUUCGAGACGAGAGGUCGUCGAGGACGGCGCGUGAAGGGGCGGCCCGCCGAGAUCUCACGAUGACCUCGGGUCGUGUUGAUCGGGCCGUGACGCGAAAGCUCACGGACUGUCGCGUCCGCGAGGGCACGCGGGCGCGGAGCGCUGCCGCGCUGA
rnacentral:ncRNA from 2 species